UACGAAGGGGGCUAGCGUUGCUCGGAAUUACUGGGCGUAAAGGGCGCGUAGGCGGAUGUUUAAGUCGGGGGGUGAAAGCCCAGGGCUCAACCCUGGAACUGCCUUCGAUACUGGACAUCUUGAGUACGGGAGAGGUGAGUGGAACUCCGAGUGUAGAGGUGAAAUUCGUAGAUAUUCGGAAGAACACCAGUGGCGAAGGCGACUCACUGGCCCGUUACUGACGCUGAGGCGCGAAAGCGUGGGGAGCAAACAGG
rnacentral:rRNA from 1 species